rnacentral:rRNA from 1 species
AACGAACGCUGGCGGCAGGCCUAACACAUGCAAGUCGAGCGAGGACUUCGGUUCUAGCGGCGGACGGGUGAGUAACGCGUGGGAAUGUGCCCUUCUCUACGGAAUAGCCCUGGGAAACUGGGAGUAAUACCGUAUACGCCCUAUUGGGGAAAGAUUUAUCGGAGAAGGAUCAGCCCGCGUUGGAUUAGGUUGUUGGUGGGGUAAUGGCCUACCAAGCCGACGAUCCAUAGCUGGUUUGAGAGGAUGAUCAGCCACACUGGGACUGAGACACGGCCCAGACUCCUACGGGAGGCAGCAGUGGGGAAUCUUAGACAAUGGGGGCAACCCUGAUCUAGCCAUGCCGCGUGAGUGAUGAAGGCCUUAGGGUUGUAAAGCUCUUUCAGCUGGGAAGAUAAUGACGGUACCAGCAGAAGAAGCCCCGGCUAACUCCGUG